GACGAACCGUGCGAACGUUAUUCGGAAUCACUGGGCUUAAAGCGCGUGUAGGCGGGACGGCACGUCCGUCGCUGAAAUCCCCCGGCUCAACCGGGGAACGGGCGCGGAUACGACCGUCCUUGAGGGGCGUAGGGGGACCUGGAACUUCCGGUGGAGCGGUGAAAUGCGUUGAGAUCGGAAGGAACGCCCGUGGCGAAAGCGAGGUCCUGGACGCCUACUGACGCUGAGACGCGAAAGCCAGGGGGAGCGAACGGG
rnacentral:rRNA from 1 species